rnacentral:rRNA from 1 species
AGAAGUCGAGCGCGUAGCAAUACGAGCGGCAGACGGGUGAGUAACGCGUGGGAAUCUACCCUUUUCUACGGAAUAACGCAGGGAAACUUGUGCUAAUACCGUAUGAGCCCUUCGGGGGAAAGAUUUAUCGGGAAAGGAUGAGCCCGCGUUGGAUUAGCUAGUUGGUGGGGUAAAGGCCUACCAAGGCGACGAUCCAUAGCUGGUCUGAGAGGAUGAUCAGCCACAUUGGGACUGAGACACGGCCCAAACUCCUACGGGAGGCAGCAGUGGGGAAUAUUGGACAAUGGGCGCAAGCCUGAUCCAGCCAUGCCGCGUGAGUGAUGAAGGCCCUAGGGUUGUAAAGCUCUUUCACCGGUGAAGAUAAUGACGGUAACCGGAGAAGAAGCCCCGGCUAACUUCGUGCCAGCAGCCGCGGUAAUACGAAGGGGGCUAGCGUUGUUCGGAAUUACUGGGCGUAAAGCGCACGUAGGCGGAUUGUUAAGUGAGGGGUGAAAUCCCAGGGCUCAACCCUGGAACUGCCUUUCAUACUGGCAAUCUAGAGUCCGGAAGAGGUGAGUGGAAUUCCGAGUGUANAGGUGAAAUUCGUAGAUAUUCGGAGGAACACCAGUGGCGAA